CGCCCGUCACACCAUGAGAGUUGAUAAUACCAGAAGUCGGUAUUCUAACCGCAAGGAGGAAGCCGCCCAAGGUAGGAUUGAUGAUUAGGGUGAAGUCGUAACAAGGUAUCCGUACGAGAACGUGCGGAUGGAUCACCUCCUUUCUAUGGAGUUAAUACUUUAUAGUAAUUAACUAGUUUUAAUGACCGUUAUGUUUAGUUUUCAGAGAUUAGUUUCUCUGACAAUAACAAGUAAAUGUUAUUGGAAUUGUUCUUUGAAAACUGGAUAAUAGACAUCUAGUUAUUUUAAUCACAUGAUUAAAAUAACAAUAAUUCAAAAUUUCUGUUAUUUUUAAAAAAUAACUAAAAUUUCACAGUUAUAUUUGUAAAUGAUUCUCAAAAAACUGAUUUAAAAUCAGGUCAAAUAAUUUAUAAAACUUUGAAGUUACAAAGGGCGUAUGGUGAAUGCCUUGGGAAUAGGAGACGAUGAAGGACGUGACUACCUGCGAUAAGGUUCGGGGAGCUGGAAGUAAGCUUUGAUCCGGACAUGUCCGAAUGGGGAAACCCGGUGAGAUUAAUCUCUCAUCAUCCUAUAAUGAAUAAAUAGUUAUAGUGAAGGUAUACCUAGGGAAUUGAAACAUCUUAGUACCUAGAGGAAAAGAAAGCGAAUGCGAUUCUCUUAGUAGCGGCGAGCGAACGGGGAACAGCCCAAACCAGAUUUAUCUGGGGUUGUAGGACCAUAAUAGUAGAGUUACAAAACUUGUUUAUAGUAGAAAUGGUUGGGAAACCAUGCCGUAGAGGGUGAUAGCCCCGUAUACGAAAUAGACAAGACUCGAAAUGGAAUCCUGAGUACGGCGAGACACGUGAAAUCUUGUCGGAAUCAACGCGGGCCACCGCGUAAGGCUAAAUACUACCUAUUCACCGAUAGUGAACCA
rnacentral:sRNA from 1 species